rnacentral:lncRNA from 1 species
AUGCGUCAAUAAUACAAAUAUGUUAUCUAUAUCAUAUUACAUAUAUGGUAGCUAAACAUAAUCUUUAUCAAAGUUUGGUCUUUGCUACCUUCUUUCAAUUAUUUUCUUUAAAUAUGCUUCUAAAUACUUUUAAGAAUGAAUUGAGAUUAUAGAUGAAUUAUGAAUUCUUUUCUAUUAUAGGUAUAAAUUAAGAGAGAACACUUUCAAAUAAAAAUACACCAAUGAAUCCAACUUGAGUAAAUUCAUUAAAAUAUUAGAAAAGAUAUAACCUUAGAUAGAACUUUACUUGUUGUAAAAAUCCUUAAAAUUUUAAUCUCGUUCUAUCAAACUUCUCUAGCAUAUUUAUCCUUGCCUCCUUUAUACUUAUAGUAGCAAGACUUUUUGAAUUCAAUUGUGAACUUCAUUUUUUUUUCUUUUUCUUAAUUGCACAACUUCUUCACAUAAACUUUGAACUUUAUUAUUGUCUUUUUUUAUAGCUAUAGGAAUAGUACUUCUUUGAUUCAUAUUAGAAAUACAUGAGAUUUUUAUCCAAAGAAUAUUAUUAAA